rnacentral:rRNA from 1 species
UACGAAGGGGGCUAGCGUUGCUCGGAAUUACUGGGCGUAAAGCGCACGUAGGCGGUUUGUUAAGUCGGAUGUGAAAUCCCUCGGCUCAACUGAGGAAGUGCAUCCGAAACUGGCAGGCUUGAGUACUAAAGAGGGUCGCGGAAUUCCCGGUGUAGAGGUGAAAUUCGUAGAUAUCGGGAGGAACACCGGUGGCGAAGGCGGCGACCUGGGUAGAUACUGACGCUGAGGUGCGAAAGCGUGGGGAGCAAAUAGG